rnacentral:rRNA from 1 species
AGUGAACGCUGGCGGUAGGCCUAACACAUGCAAGUCGAACGGCAGCACAGUAAGAGCUUGCUCUUACGGGUGGCGAGUGGCGGACGGGUGAGGAAUACAUCGGAAUCUACUUUUUCGUGGGGGAUAACGUAGGGAAACUUACGCUAAUACCGCAUACGACCUACGGCUGAAAGCAGGAGAUCUUCGGACCUUGCGCGAUUCAAUGAGCCGAUGUCGGAUUAGCUAGUUGGCGGGGUAAAGGCCCACCAAGGCGACGAUCCGUAGCUGGUCUGAGAGGAUGAUCAGCCACACUGGAACUGAGACACGGUCCAGACUCCUACGGGAGGCAGCAGUGGGGAAUAUUGGACAAUGGGCGCAAGCCUGAUCCAGCCAUACCGCGUGGGUGAAGAAGGCCUUCGGGUUGUAAAGCCCUUUUGUUGGGAAAGAAAAGCAGCAGGUUAAUACCCCGCUGUUCUGACGGUACCCAAAGAAUAAGCACCGGCUAACUUCGUG